UGGGAGAACUUGCACAAUCGGUGGCCGGCUAAAUACUUUUUUGCCCCACUGUAUAUAAUAUGUAAAUAUUACAUAUAUCCAUCCUACCAUCUAUUUUGUACCGCUUGUCCCAUAUGUUAUAUUUAAUAUUGCUACUAUGGUACAUUUGUAGUUUACUUAAUACCUGCAUUAUCCUUUCCAUCCCACUAAUCGCUUUAAUUUGUUUUGGUCCUUAAAAUAAUCACAAUUCUCUUUGGGAUUCAAUAAAUUAAAGGGAUUAAUGUUAAAUGAAUGAUUUUUUUUUUUUGCUUAGGUCUUCUCCCUUAUUGUGUCCCAUUUUGUUUUGUAUUCUGUGUCCAUCUUGCACCGUGUCGCCGACAAUGAAGACGCACUUUAAAUAAAGUAGUUUCAUCGGGUUUCAUUUUGGCUUUGAUCAAAUAUUUGUGCAUCCUUCAGCUUUGUUGUUCUCACCACUUCCUGUCAACAGGUGAAACAUUGGACGCCUGGAUCAUCCCGGCGGUGGACGUGUCCGGAAUCUCCAUGUUUGUGUUCAGAUUACAUUCGGAGGCUGAUUUGUUUCCAUCUCACCUGUGUUUGUGUUUGCUUAGCUCCCCUUAAGGAGGCGGGAGGAGGACAGAAAGAAGAUGAGAAAUGAAGCUGUGAGGAAACUCAAGGCAUCACAGCGCCCCGACGUCAUGUCGUGACAUUACUGGUUUUACAAGCAGAGGAGCAUGUUCGGCAGCGCACAAUCACGGAGUACUUACAAGCAGACACAAAAAGUAUCGAAACACAUUUUGGUAUCGGGACAAUCCAACACCAAAUGAAUGGAUGUGGAAUAAGACCCAACUUGAACAUGACAACCUCACAGAUUUUGCAC